rnacentral:rRNA from 1 species
UACGUAGGUGACAAGCGUUGUCCGGAUUUACUGGGCGUAAAGGGCGCGUAGGCGGCUUGUCAAGUCACUUGUGAAAUCUCUGGGCUUAACCCAGAACGGCCAAGUGAAACUGACAUGCUAGAGUGCAGAAGGGGCAAUCGGAAUUCUUGGUGUAGCGGUGAAAUGCGUAGAUAUCAAGAGGAACACCUGAGGUGAAGACGGGUUGCUGGGCUGACACUGACGCUGAGGCGCGAAAGCCAGGGGAGCAAACGGG